CAAGACCGACACUACUAUGAGAUGGUAGAGAGGAUAACUCCAAAAAACCUCAUUGGAUCUUAGCCGGACGCUUAUCUCAUCAAGAAACAACUACCUGAAUUCCUCCUAAAGAAGACCCAUGGUGUUUUUUAGGGAGAGAAACUGCAUCAUCCAGGGUUUGGGGUCUUGCAAUAGUUGGAGAUUUCUGAUUUAAUAGAGUAAAUAGAUCUCCUAAUAAAUGCGGGAUUUGGCAAAUUUUACAGCAUAACAGGUAGGGUCAAACAAAACGGACAGAGAAGAAAAUGAUGAAGAGGAAGCUACUGAACUUGCACCGGAUGUGAUUGGCCAGAUGGUGAAUAAUGGACCUGGAGAAAUUGCUGUAAGAUAACAAAUUAAAUCUAAUACGAAUGCAAAUAUGUCCCAAGUUGUACCAAUAUGAGGAUUAAUUGUAUUUAUUUUUUAUAUUCGAGUUCAUCUAGCCACUCUAUAUGCAAAAGCAGCAAAUACGAGCGGAUAGCAAUUGAGUGUCAACAAAGUGUAAUGAAUAUAUCAAGUAUACUUUACUCGUAACGUAGUGUUAUGCCAUCAUCUUCCCAACCAGCCGUUAGAUCCACAAGGAAACAGACAAAAAAGCGAAUGAUCCAUGACGAGAAGGCAAAUGUUGUUAUAGAGUCUGAUACAGACAAAUUUGAAUAUAAAAACAACCAAGAUGAGACAUGUGUUGGAGAUAGGAAUGAUGAUUUUGGUGAAGCAAAUGAGGCCGGAGAUAAAGAAGGAAAAGAUGAUGCCAAGGCAAUUGCGGCAGUAUUACAUCAGUUGUGGCAGCCCAUCCCCAACAUCUUGUAAAAGUUUAUAGUAGAAUUGUAGAAGUUUAUUGCUUGGAUGUAGACAUAACUUCCCCAUCAGGAGCUGUAGUAGAGAAACAUUUGCUAUGUGCUACAACACAAUGGAAGGGUCAGUCUAUAUAUAUAAAAAAAAAGAGUCCAAAGGUAAGUUAUAUAUGGUAUGGUUGAAAUUAAUAUUUCAUUUGUUAUUGCACCUGUUGUAAUGAUCAGAGUCCAUAUCAUUUAUAACAUACAUUACUUGCCUUCGGACUCUUUUUUUUAUAUCUAAACUGACCCUUUCAUUGUGUUGCAGCACAUAGCGAAUGUUUCUCUACUGCAACUCCUGAUGGGGAAGUUAUGUCGGCAUCCAAGCAAUAAACUUCUACAAUUCUGCUAUCUUCAACAUCUUUGUUGGGGAUGGGCUACCGCAAUUGCCUUGACAUCAUCUUUUUCUUCUUUAUUUUCGGCUUCAUUUGCUUCACCAAAAUCAUCAUUCCUAUCUCCAACACAUGUCUCGUCUUGAUUGUUUUCAUAUUCAAAUUUGUCUGUAUUGGACUCUAUAACAACCUUUGCCUUCUCGUCAUGGAUCAUUCGCUUUUUUGCCUGAUUCCUUGUGGAUCUAACGGCUGGCUGGGAAGAUGAUGGCAUAGCACCAUGUUGCGAGCAAAGUAUACUUGAUAUAUUCAUUACACUUUGUUGACACUCAA